AGUCACUGACAUUAGAUACCCGGGUAGUCCAGGGUGUAAACGCUGCGGGCUUGGUGUUGGGGGUUCUUAGUGGGCGCCCAGUGCCGGAGAGAAGUUGUUAAGCCUGCUGCUUGGGGAGUAUGUCCGCAAGGAUGAAACUUAAAGGAAUUGGCGGGGGAGCACAACAACGGGUGGAGCUUGCGGUUUAAUUGGAUUCAACGCCGGAAAUCUUACCGGGACCGACAGCAACAUGAAGGCCAAGCUGAAGACUUUGCCGGAUUAGCUG
rnacentral:rRNA from 1 species